rnacentral:lncRNA from 11 species
AACCUCUGGCUUGCUAGCAAAACUGAAUUUACCGGUAUCUUGUACCACUUCGGAUCUCUCCUUUGCAGACAAUGGCUGCCCCUGCAAGGAGUCCCAAUGAGAAGAAAUCAUCAGGAGGGAAGGCAUCACCUCCUCACUUCCUGUUGCAACUGGCUGCAGCUUUGGACAAUUCCACUAUUAAGUCGCUGCAGUGGCAUGAAGACGGAAGGGGCAUUCUCCUUCACACCAAGUUGUAUGAGGAAGAGAUCCAGCGGCACCAGGAACUUUUUCCAGAAGUCAAGAAUCUGAAAUCUGUUUCUGUGCUCCAGGCCUGGCUGACGACUUACGGCUUCAAAACUAGAAUUAUAAAGUAGGUCAUGCGAGAUUUGUGUGUGUUUGCUAUAGCGUGGAGGUAGAGCACGUGGGGAAAGGAUGC